AUUGAACGCUGGCGGCAGGCCUAACACAUGCAAGUCGAGCGAGCGGCGGACGGGUGAGUAACGCGUAUCAACCUGCCCUUCAGAGGGGGACAACAGUUGGAAACGGUGGCUAAUACCGCAUACUAUCGGAUGAACCCAUAUGGGAUUAGCUAGUAGGUGGGGUAAAGGCUCACCUAGGCGACGAUCUCUAGCUGGUCUGAGAGGAUGAUCAGCCACCCUGGGACUGAGACACGGCCCAGACUCCUACGGGAGGCAGCAGUGGGGAAUAUUGCACAAUGGGCGCAAGCCUGAUGCAGCCAUGCCGCGUGUAUGAAGAAGGCCUUCGGGUUGUAAAGUACUUUCAGCGAGGAGGCGUUACUCGCAGAAGAAGCACCGGCUAACUCCGUGCCAGCAGCCGCGGUAAUUC
rnacentral:rRNA from 1 species